CGGCCAUGUCGCAGCGCAGCACCCCCCGCGCGUCCUCGGGGUCGGGGGUUCGCCCCAUCUCGUAGUCCACCAAGGCAUGGGGGGGCCGCAGGAGGAGCCACAGGGCCGCCCCCACCAGCUGCAUCCCGCUGAGGGCGAAGAUGCGGUAGAUGCGGUUGGUCUUGGUGAGGAGCGCGGCGUAGCUGAGGCUCAUCCCUAAGCCCAAGAAGAGCCUCCUCAUGGCGCAGACGCCCACCCCCGGCUCGGCCACCAUGAGGAAGGUGAUGGCGUAGACCAAAGCGAUGCCCACCAGCAGGACGUAGCUGAGCUCCCGCCCCGACGCCUUCACGAUGGGCGUCUCGUGGUGCUUGAUGAAGCUGCCGCUGCCGUUGGCGCCCUGGAACUGGAAGAUGUCGUAUCUGCCCGGAGCAUCGCCGUUCUCAUUGAAGCUCACGGGGGUCCCUGCACUGCCUGCACCAGUACGGACCAGUACAAACCAGUAUGGACCAGUACAAACCAGUAUGGACCAGUACGGACCAGUACGGACCAGUACAAACCAGUAUGGACCAGUACGGACCAGUAUGGACCAGUAUGGACCAAUCCAGGCCCAGGAACACCCAGUAAGGAC